rnacentral:rRNA from 1 species
AUUGAACGCUGGCGGCAUGCUUUACACAUGCAAGUCGAACGGUAACAGGGUGCUUGCACCGCUGACGAGUGGCGAACGGGUGAGUAAUGCGUCGGAACGUGCCGAGUAGUGGGGGAUAACGCAGCGAAAGUUGUGCUAAUACCGCAUACGUACUGAGGUAGAAAGUGGGGACCUUCGGGCCUCACGCUAUUCGAGCGGCCGACGUCUGAUUAGCUAGUAGGUGAGGUAAAGGCUCACCUAGGCGACGAUCAGUAGCGGGUCUGAGAGGAUGAUCCGCCACACUGGGACUGAGACACGGCCCAGACUCCUACGGGAGGCAGCAGUGGGGAAUUUUGGACAAUGGGCGAAAGCCUGAUCCAGCCAUGCCGCGUGUCUGAAGAAGGCCUUCGGGUUGUAAAGGACUUUUGUCAGGGAGGAAAUCCCUAGCGUUAAUACCGCUGGGGGAUGACAGUACCUGAAGAAUAAGCACCGGCUAACUACGUGCCAGCCGCCGCUGUAAGAC